AUUGAACGCUGGCGGUAUGCUUAACACAUGCAAGUCGAACGGCAGCAUAAUCUUCGGAUUGAUGGCGAGUGGCGGACGGGUGAGUAAUAUAUAGGAAUCUGCCUUGUAGUGGGGGAUAACUAUCCGAAAGGAUAGCUAAUACCGCAUAAUGAUUACGGUUUAAAGCAGGGGAUCUUCGGACCUCGCGCUACAAGUUGAGCCUAUACAAGAUUAGCUAGGUGGUGAGGUAAAGGCUCACCAAGGCGACGAUCUUUAGCGGGUCUGAGAGGAUGAUCAGCCACACUGGGACUGAGACACGGCCCAGACUCUUACGGGAGGCAGCAGUGGGGAAUAUUGGACAAUGGGCGCAAGCCUGAUCCAGCAAUACCGCGUGUGUGAAGAAGGCCUUCGGGUUGUAAAGCACUUUUGUUAGGGAGGAUGGUGAUUUUGGCGAAUACCCAAAGUCAUUGACGUUACCUAAAGAAUCAGCACCGGCUAACUCCGUACCAGCCGCCGCCGUAA
rnacentral:rRNA from 1 species